GACGAACGCUGGCGGCGUGCUUAACACAUGCAAGUCGAACGGAAAGGCCCUGCUUUUGUGGGGUGCUCGAGUGGCGAACGGGUGAGUAACACGUGAGUAACCUGCCCUUGACUUUGGGAUAACUUCAGGAAACUGGGGCUAAUACCGGAUAUGAGCUCCUGCUGCAUGGUGGGGGUUGGAAAGUUUCGGCGGUUGGGGAUGGACUCGCGGCUGAUCAGCUUGUUGGUGGGGUAGUGGCUUACCAAGGCUUUGACGGGUAGCCGGCCUGAGAGGGUGACCGGCGACAUGGGGACUGAGAUACGGCCCAGACUCCUACGGGAGGCAGCAGUGGGGAGUAUUGCACAAUGGGCGGAAGCCUGAUGCAGCAACGCCGCGUGCGGGAUGACGGCCUUCGGGUUGUAAACCGCUUUCGCCUGUGACGAAGCGUGAGUGACGGUAAUGGGUAAAGAAGCACCGGCUAACUACGUG
rnacentral:rRNA from 1 species